AUGUGGAGGAACACCAGUGGCGAAGGCGACUCUCUGGUCUGUAACUGACGCUGAGGAGCGAAAGCGUGGGGAGCGAACAGGAUUAGAUACCCUGGUAGUCCACGCCGUAAACGAUGAGUGCUAAGUGUUAGGGGGUUUCCGCCCCUUAGUGCUGCAGCUAACGCAUUAAGCACUCCGCCUGGGGAGUACGGUCGCAAGACUGAAACUCAAAGGAAUUGACGGGGGCCCGCACAAGCGGUGGAGCAUGUGGUUUAAUUCGAAGCAACGCGAAGAACCUUACCAGGUCUUGACAUCCUCUGACAAACCUAGAGAUAGGGCUUUCCCUUCGGGGACAGAGUGACAGGUGGUGCAUGGUUGUCGUCAGCUCGUGUCGUGAGAUGUUGGGUUAAGUCCCGCAACCAGCGCAACCCUUGAUCUUAGUUGCCAGCAUUCAGUUGGGCACUCUAAGGUGACUGCCGGUGACAAACCGGAAGAAGGUGGGGGAUGACAUCAAAUCAUCAUGCCCCUUAUGACCUGGGGCUACACACGUGCUACAAUGUGACAGAACAAAGGGCUGCGAGACCGCUAAAGUUUAGCCAAAUCCCACAAAUCUGUUCUCAGUUCGGAUCGCAGUCUGCUACUCGACUGCGUGUAAGCUGGA
rnacentral:rRNA from 1 species